GCAUGUUUUGACACCUUAAAGUAGUUUUGGGCCUCAAGUCAUCUAUGGAACCCUGAGGAAACUGAUGGCUGCCCAACGAGGCCUGCUUGCAGAGCUACCUUCUGCUGAAGGCAUUUUAAAAGCAAUUGUCUAAGAAUCCAGCUACAUGGAAAAUGAACUCUUCUGAAGACACAGUGUCCCCAGAGGGCAGCCAACAACCAAAGAUGUGCUGUUCGGUAGAGGCAGAUCCUGUGUGGUUUUAUGUUGGAGAGCGUGCCUUCCUAACUUAAACUCCAGUUCUCAGCUUCUGUCCCACUGUAUGGUCCUGGGGACCUGGGUCUAUGGCUGCACUGAUGAGACCUCCAGUGGCCUGAGAGAUACCAAGCCGUGUCCCCUCACACAGGUGCCACUCACAGGACAGAGGAGUCUGGAUGUGAUGGGGGAGAGACAGAAACCAGCACUCGGUAUCUUCGCUGAGAAGUGGAGAGCAGUAUCUGGCUCCGAGUGUUGAACGGCUCAUUGCCUCUGCUGUUCCUGUCUUCCUUCAUGUUAAGAAAACAGAAGAUGCAGUCAAACUUUGAGUUAAUGGGUCUGCUCCAUUCAUUAUUUACCCAGGGUGGUGCUUUAUCACAGAG
rnacentral:lncRNA from 1 species